CGGAGGAGCCUGGUGGGCUACAGCCCAUGGAGUCACAAAGAGUUGGACAUGACUGAGCAAUCAAGAACAAAAAAUACAUCCACACCCUAAUCCUGGAACAUAUGAAUGUUAACUGAUUUGGGGAAAGGGUCUUUGCAAGUAUAGUGAAGAAUCUUAAGAGCAGGAGGUCAUCUGGAUUAUCCCAUGGGAUCCUGAAUCCAGUGACAUCGUCUUAGAGCAGAAGAGGAGAGGGCUGUGCAAAGAUGGAAGCACAGGGCAGAGGGAUGAGGCCACAAACCAAGGGACACUUGGGGCCUCCAGAAGCUGGAGGAGGUGAGGAAGAGUCCUUCCCCAGAGCCUUUGGAGGGAGCCCAACACUGUCCAUGCCUUGAUUUCAGACUUUUGGCCUCCACAUGUUGAGAGAAGACAUUUCUGCUGUUUCAAGCAUCCAGUUGGUGUGAUUUGUCAUGGCAGACACAGGAAUCUAUCACAGUCCCUAAUCUUCAUAAACCCAUCUUACAGGGAAGGAAACUGAGGUCAGAGAGGUAAGGGCUUAUCCAGGGAUCACCUCCGAUUUAUUCUGUAUAAUAAUAGCAGAGGUCAGUGGUCACAGCAGAGGCUGUGUGGCCUGUGAAGCCUGAACUGUUUAUCAUCCAGCCAGUUACAGAUGUGUUUGCCCACCCCUGCUCUAGGUGCCCCUAUGGCAAUACCUGUUCUAGAAAAAAUAAAGCAGGGCAAGAGGGACAAGAGGUAAGGAAGGCUUCACUAGGACAGUGAACAUUUGUGCAGGGACCUGAGUCCUGUGCAAAGGCCCUGAGGCACAGUGAGGGGCCUGAGCGGCUGAAGCAGAGAGACAGCCAAGGUCAGAUGGGAGCAGAGGGACCUACCUGGUGGUUCAAUAGCUAAGACUCCGUGUUCCAAAUGCAGUGGGCCUGGGUUCGAUCCCUGGUCAGAGAACUGGAUCCCAGAUGCUGCAACUAAGAAUUCGCAUAUUGCAACUAAGACUCAGUGCAACCAAAUAAAUAAUUUUUUUUUAAAAAAGAGCAGGCCAUCUCUGCAGGGUUCUGGGAGCCACCUCCUCCAAGUGAGCUGGGGGACCAUCAGAGGGCCAGGAACAGAGGGAGCCUGAGAUUUGAUUUCCAUGUUGCGGACUCUCUCUGCUCCUGUGUGGGGCGGGAGAGGGGCCCAGGAGGCCAGCUGAGGGCCUGUCGUUCACUAUGACAUCAGUGUUAGUGACAUCAGAGUGUGGAGUCCUGCCUUGAACUCUUCUAGCCUAGAUCUAGUAGACUUCCCAGUGGAGGAGCAGAGUGGCCAGGACCUAGGCUUUAGGGAGGAGGGCUGGCUGGGCUUAGAAACAUGGGAAUCUUCAGUAUCUGAGGCUGUGAUCCUGGAGGAGCAGUUAUGAAGAAGGAGGUUCAGGGGCUGAGCGUUUGAGGCCCUCCAAGCUCAGAGAUGAGGAGCACCAGGAGACGGCAGCUCCCCGGAGCCAGAGAGGACGCCGAGUGGAGGGGAAGGGCGCCGUGUGGCUGCCGCCAGACACUGGGACGGGCGCGGACACGUGUCCACGGGGCCCAGGGCGGCCAUUCAUCUUUGAGCUUGAGGAGCUGUUUGGAAUCACAAAGUGGCUCGCACAUACCCGGCCUCCGUUGAGAGCCACGUACACCACGGGCCCUUAGCUAAACACACAGGAGUUCGGGGUGAGGCGGAGACCUUCCCCAGCAGCUGGAUGGACCCCUGGGCAGCUGCCACACCUCUCCGGUCGCUCUCAUGGGCAGUAAAUCCUCAGGUCCCUUCUAGUCCCAGGGGCCGUGUCCGCUUAGGAAUUACAACUCCAGUCCCGGUUUAAUGAUCAAAACGAAGGUUUAUUCCCAGUCACGGCUUCUCCCCUCCUCCAGCUCCACUAGGCUUCGAGCAGCAGUGGAACCACAGCGGGGGAGGCCAGCUGGGCCUCUGCCAUCCUCCUCCGGGAGGGAGGGCGGGAGGGGACUGGGACCCUCCAGGAUCGGGGGAUUCCGAAUGCAGAUCUCUCUCUUUCAGGCUCUCUGCUGGGCCUUAGGUAAUUCUUGGAUGGUUCCUGACCCACCAGGGCACACACCUUUGCCCAGUCAUCCGGAAAACACGGCCACCAGUCCAGUUCCACAGCCAGCUGGGCAGCAACAGGGAUGACCUUGGCCUUUAAUGCAUCCGGCGUGGAGCCAGCAGCAGGAGACACCUGUUCGCCUGGGUCCUUGAAGCCCCUCUUGCUGGUCUCAGGAUGAAAGGCACUCUCUCCUACUCUCAAGACCUUCAGUAUCAGACAGAAUGGGCUUCCGGUAAAGAAUCUGCCUGCAAUGCAGGAGACACGGGUUCGAUCCCUGGGUCGGGAAGAUCCCCUGGAGGCAUGGCAACCCACUCCAGUAUUCUUGCCAAGAAAAUCCCACGACAGAGGAGCCUGGCGGACUACAGUCCACGGGGUCACAAAGAAUCAGAUACGACUGAAUGACUGAGCACGCACCAGCGUCAGAAUGGAGGCAGGAAGUCCCAUCUUAACUGCCCCCCUGGGGACUGCAGAGAGAGCUGCCAAGCCCUUCCAGCCCACCGUCUACACUCGCUGCCGCCUGGCCUCACCACCUGCUCAUUCAGUCCUGCCCCUGCGAUGACCUUCGGUCGCCAGCUGCACAGGCCAUUGCUGCUGCAUCCAUCUUGGUGAGGGUUCUGCAGGUCUCCAACGCCCCCUCCCCAGCCUCCCUCCCUUGAGCCCCUUCCCCCUCCCAGACUGUCACAUGCUGUCCUGCUCACACGCUGCCCUGUAUUAGGCACAGCCCUCUUUGCUGCAGGAGCCCCUGGUGGCUCAGACGUUAACAAGUCUGUCUGCAGUGCAGGAGACCCAGGUUCCAUCCCUGAGUUGGGGCGAUCCCCUGGAGGAGGAACCGGCAACCCACUCCAGUAUUCUUGCCUGGAGAAUCCCAUGGACUGAGGAGCCAGGCGGGCUACUGUCCGUGGGGUCACAGAGUCAGCCACAACUGAGCGACCUCUCUUUCUUCUCUUCGCUGCUCUCCCCACCAUGGUCUGUCCGUCAGUGUGGCCAGCAUGAUGGCCUUUAAAUGCCCACCUGGCAGGGCCCUCCCUUCACACAAACCCUCUCUGGCUCCCUAGUGCCCCUGACGGCUCUCCCUGCCGCCUCUCUGCCCUCCCCCAGGUCGGGCACAGCUCCUCCCGGCUGGUCGCAGUCCUCCUGGCCCUGCGGUCUUGGGGUCUCCCCCUGGGUGUCUGUAGGUCUGAGGGUCCCCUUUCUCUGGGGGAGGCAGGGGCCGUCAGAGCCGGGUGGCAAGGUGGGCUGAGCCUUCACAGAAUCGGCUGGGACAGGUACCCACAGGGGCUGGCGCUCCCAUGGGAGGCUGGUGUGUGCAGGGAACACUGACCCCGGCCGGGGGCCAAGAGCGGCUGUCUUGUGGGGUGUGGAAGGGUGGAAGAGGGAGGUGGCCUGCAGGCAGGUCGACUGCCCGGUGGAGAACCCAGGCGGGGUAUCCUGCGAGCUCCUCACGGCGAAGGGCCGGGGGGGGGGGGGGGGGGGGGCGGAGGCGGGGGGACGGGGGGGGGGGACUUUGUGCAGGAGAGUUCCUGCCGCUCAGACUUGCGGGGCGGGGAUCUGGCGGUCCCCAGAAGCUGUGAUCGCAGAUUCUAGAAGUAAGUCACCUUCCGCCUCCGCGGUGGAGGAGGGUGCCUGGAAGGGUUCUUGAAUCCUGGGUUCCCUGAAGGCUCCGCCUUCUGCCCCUGGGGUCUUAGAAGCAGCACCAGCCCCCAGGCUCUGGGGGGAGUGGCCGAGGGUUAUCUCCCUCCCCGCCCCCCCCGCACCUACCUACACCCCUACCCCCGCCCCGCGCAGAUCCCCUGGAUACCCGGGCCUGGUGCUGAGCCCAGACAGACCGUGCGGGGGCGCUGGGCUCAGCGAGGACACAGACCCUCCCUCAGGCAGCGGCGAGGCAGAGCCGGCCUCUCGGCCUUGUCCCUGGGCAGCACCAGGUGCAGCCGGUGCUCCGGACUCGGACCGCGGGGGAGGCGCCUCCUGCCCGAGCCCCUCCCGGGCCGGGAUCACACAUCCUCCCUGCUUAUCAACGAGCCUCCGACCAAAGCUCACCGCCCGCAAUGGCCCGCAGGGCGCUGGGCCGCCUUUGAUGAGCAACCCCCACCGCCCAGUCAACAAACGCUGCAGACUUUGCACCGAGAGUGUUUACUCCCGGCAAGGACGUGGUGUACCCCCCGCAGUCUGCCCGCUGCUUUCUCUGGGGUGGGGGUGGGGUGAAGGGGGUGACGAGGGGGCUACCGGUGAGUCUUCCCCAGCCCAGGGUCUGGUUCUCCAGGAGCACCUGCCUGCUCAAGAAAUCCUCCUACCUGAAGAGGGAUUAUGCACAUUCUAUAGAUGCGAAAACUGAGGCCUGGCUGGUUAGGUGACUUGAGUGAGAUCCCUCAGGGAAUAAAGGAUGGAGCUGCAGGCUUUUGUUAUUUCUCCUCUCUGAUGCUACCAAAACCUUGGCUUUCUUUGUGCCCACAAAAACCACGUAAGGAAAAAAAAAAACAUGGAGACAGUUUGGAAGAAACAGAAAGGUGGCUGUGAUCCUCAGGUGGCAGAAGGGAGAGCACAGGAGGUUUGUGCCUUAAGAGCGGUGCCCCUUUUCCACGAGGAAUCUGGGGGAUUAUAUAGAUGCAGGCUCGCAGUCAGGGGUUGGUGAUGAGGAACAAAGGUGUCAGGAUGUUGCAUUCUUCCUCUAGCGCUCUUUCAAAAGCGGUCACAGGCUGGUGUCAGGUAGCCCAGUAAUUGGGUCUGGCAGUUGGGUAGUUGGGUCCAUUAUUGUCUUUUGUACCGAGGCCUUCUUUCUAUAAGGCAAAAAGAGAAAAACUACAAGGGAUGGUCUGCAAAGAGAGUUCUGUAAAGGUGUAAUUAGCAUGGAGUCAAAGGAUAGUUGGAGGAGGGCAUGGAACCCACUCCAGGAUUCUUGCCUGGAGAAUCCCAUGGACAGAGGAGCCUGGCAGGCGACAGUCCAUGGGGUCGCACAGAGCGACUUGGCACACACGCACAAAGGCUAGUAGAUGCAGAAUAAAGCUUAUGCAGAGUUAGGGGGCAGAACAGAUUAGGAACAGUUAAAGUAAAACCUGGGGCUUUCUAGGUGGCUCAAGUGGUAAAGGAUCUGCUGGCCAGUACAGGAGACGAAGGAGACACAAGUUUGAUCCCUGGGUUGGGAAGAUCUGCUGGAAUAGGAAAUGGCAGGAUGGCAGCCCACUCCAGUAUACUUGCCUGGAGAGUCCCAUGGACAGAGGAGCCUGGCGGGCUACAGUCCACAGGGUCACAAAGAGUCGGACACGACUGAGCCACUGGGCGCACACCCAAGUAAAAGCUAGGAGUGAUCAGGCCUGCUCACUGUUCCUUCUUCUUUGUUCUUAGGAAAGAAAAGAAAAACUCAUUUUCCUUUUUCACUUUUUCACUGCAGCAUCUCUCCCAGGCCCUGGGGGGUCGGGGGAGUGAGGGGAGCAAGGAAAAGACUGAGGGCCUCCAGAGUCAGGGGUUCAGGCCCAACCCGGCUCCAAGGGCUCCUAGCUCAGGCCUGCAGUGAUCCGAGUGGCCACGAGGGGGCAGCAGCAUCCUGCCAUGCCAGGCUCUCCAGGUGCUCAGGGAUUCAAAGGAAAGCGUUUGUCAACACCGAGGGGCCUGGAGGACGACCUGCCAGCCCUUGGAUCAGGGAACAAGUUCGACCCCACUCAUGACCUUGGGCAAGUUGUGGAACCCGUGGAGACCUCAGUUUCCUAAUCUGUGCCAGUGGGGAUAACAGGAGCUGACCCACUUGGUGGAGCUGGGAAUUAAGAAAACCAGGCAGCAGACAGAAAAGCUUGCUCUCAAGGCACAGGUUCUAGUUCAUAUUCUAGAACUAACACCAAAAAAAGAUGUAUUUUUCAUAAUAGGGAACUGGAAUGCAAAAGUAGGAAGUCAGGCAGUAGACAGGUUUGACCAUGGAGUACAAAAUGAAGCAGG